rnacentral:rRNA from 1 species
UACAGAGGUCCCAAGCGUUGUUCGGAUUUACUGGGCGUAAAGGGUGCGUAGGUGGCGAGGUAAGUUCGAUGUGAAAUCUCCGAGCUCAACUCGGAAAUGGCAUUGAAUACUAUCCCGCUUGAGGGUCGGAGGGGAGACUGGAAUUCUCGGUGUAGCAGUGAAAUGCGUAGAUAUCGAGAGGAACACCAGUGGCGAAGGCGAGUCUCUGGACGACUCCUGACACUGAGGCACGAAAGCUGGGGGAGCAACAGGAUUA